rnacentral:rRNA from 1 species
GAUGAUGGGAGCUUGCUCCUGGAUUCAGCGGCGGACGGGUGAGUAAUGCCUAGGAAUCUGUCUGGUAGUGGGGGACAACGUGUCGAAAGGAACGCUAAUACCGCAUACGUCCUACGGGAGAAAGCAGGGGACCUUCGGGCCUUGCGCUAUCAGAUGAGCCUAGGUCGGAUUAGCUAGUUGGUGGGGUAAAGGCUCACCAAGGCGACGAUCCGUAACUGGUCUGAGAGGAUGAUCAGUCACACUGGAACUGAGACACGGUCCAGACUCCUACGGGAGGCAGCAGUGGGGAAUAUUGGACAAUGGGCGAAAGCCUGAUCCAGCCAUGCCGCGUGUGUGAAGAAGGUCUUCGGAUUGUAAAGCACUUUAAGUUGGGAGGAAGGGCAGUAAG